AAAAAAAGAAAAAGGAUUAUUACAUAUAAAUGGACUUAGUGGUCCAAAUUUACCCAUACAUUGAGUAAAAGUCAAGUAUUUCUCUGUUUGACCCAAAAGUUGAGGUGGCACAUGAAAAAAAACUGUUCCUAAUGCCUCUUUCACAUUCCAUUCGUGCAACCCUCUCUCCCCCUUCUUUGUAAAUAGCGAUGAACAAACCCUUAACCAUAUGAUGACUUUCGUGCGACGAAGAACACGAUGAACAGCGAGCGGCGAUCAGCGACAGGCUAUUAGUGAGCAGCGACCAGAGGGGAGCGACGAAGGCCGGCGACCAGUCACUAUUGUUCAGUUCUACCAGGACGAAGUUUCUACCCGAUUCAUCACCAACUGUUUGGCACUAUGGUCAAGCACUAUCAAUUCUGGCGUCUCGUCACCAAUUUUCUCUACUUCCGGAAAAUGGCUACUUGGAUUUUGUACCAUGGACAAUGAGGUGGUUUUUUGAUAAGUGCAGACAGUAAGUCUCAAGUGCUUGAAGGUUUAUAAAUUUUUCAACAGCAGUGCUAGGAAAUUAAUGAUAUUCUUGACAAAUGGAUUUAGUUCCUAUUUUGGAACAUUGAUGAAUGGUGAAUUGUUUUGGAACAUUGAUAAAUGAUGAAUUUUGUAAUUGUAGAAUGAAUUUUUUGUAUAGUGAUAGGCAGACACUAUUCAUGCACAACUUGAAAGAUGCAUAAAAACAUUAACGCCACUAUUAUGAAAGAUGCCAAAGAGAGAUGUGUAAGACCUGUCAAUUCAUCACAUGGUUAAAGGUGCAUAGAAACAUUAAUGCCACUAUUAUGAAAGAUGCGAAAGAGAGAUGUGUAAGACCCUUUUGUCAAAUCAUCACAUUGGAAAAAUUGACUUGUCGGUGAAUUGGGCUCUAUUUUAGGAGACAUAUGAAGACACAAAUGUUAAAGAUAGAACUGUAAUAUAGAGAGAUAU